rnacentral:rRNA from 1 species
AUUGAACGCUGGCGGCAUGCUUUACACAUGCAAGUCGAACGGCAGCACGGGGGCAACCCUGGUGGCGAGUGGCGAACGGGUGAGUAAUAUAUCGGAACGUACCCGGAAAUGGGGGAUAACGCAGCGAAAGUUGCGCUAAUACCGCAUAUGCCCUGAGGGGGAAAGCGGGGGAUCCGCAAGGACCUCGCGUUUUCGGAGCGGCCGAUAUCGGAUUAGCUAGUAGGUGGGGUAAAGGCCUACCUAGGCGACGAUCCGUAGCUGGUCUGAGAGGACGACCAGCCACACUGGAACUGAGACACGGUCCAGACUCCUACGGGAGGCAGCAGUGGGGAAUUUUGGACAAUGGGCGAAAGCCUGAUCCAGCCAUGCCGCGUGAGUGAAGAAGGCCUCGGGUUGGUAAAGACUCUUUCAGCCGGAAACGAAAGACGCAUGGGUGAAGUAACCUAGUGUGGAUGACGGUACCGGAAGAAGAAG